rnacentral:misc_RNA from 1 species
CGACCUCGAGCGCAGCUUGGUGUUGAGGGAUGCCCCGGCACCCUUUGAAAGCAUCGGCGGCAGCGCAGCUCCAUCGCAGCACAAUGCGUGAAGAGCUGUCAACUGCCCGCCUCGCACCUUCCCCUCCGGGGACUACCA